GCAUUUUAGAGCACUUGGGUAGAAUUGUAGUUGCAGCUGACCCCAUGUAAUACACAGAAAAAGAUCAUUCCCCCUGAAAGCAUCUCUGACUCUCUGCUGACUGCAGAGAUCCCAGUGCAAUUACCUUCCUAACCUGGAUGCCUCAAGCAAGAACAACAACAACAGCAAAACAACAACAGCAACAACAAAAGGAAAAGUGGAUUUCCAAUUCAGACUGGAUAGAAUAAGUAGCUACAAAUACUUUUUCUAUGAAUGACAAAGAAUGACAGUAGAGAGCACCAAAAUACGUCUUUGAGAUGUUCCCUAACUGGAGGUGGUUCACAUCAGCUGUGUGAACACAGAAGAAAGCAUUCCGAAAUGUGUUGAAUAGCUAUCAGCAGAAACUCAGGGCAAGGGAUCAGAGGGCACAAGAUUUCUACCAGCAUGGUUGGAAGACUCUUAAUUUCACUCUGGAUUCUAAAGUGUAUCUUUAGCAUUUCAUUUUAACUCCAAGGAAGAAGCAGGAAAUUUGGGUCUGACGUGUCUCAAAUCAGCACUCAAAGCCCCUGACAUACUGUGUUUUCAUCUAUUACGCUUUUGAUCCUUGAAGAGACUGAAAUCUGUUUGAACCAAAUGAUUUUUCAGCAUUUUGGAUGACACUACAAUUUUUUAGCCACAAAUUCAGUUCAAAUGAGGAGCGAGGAAGUGCCAAAAAUGUCAAAGCCAGGGAGCUGGAGAUGGCUUUGGUACUUUCAUUAAUUUGGAUCCGAGGUGAUAUACAGGACCACAGGACACAAAAAAAUAGUUUGUGCUUGAAAUAAACAUUGAAAAGAUAAGUGAGAUAACCAGAGCUCAAACACAAAAUUCAAAGCGUCCAUUUCCUUUAUACACCUCCCCUUCAGAGUUUUGCUUGAAAACUGAACUCAACCAGAGUUUAAUGGCAAGAGAUGAUGGGAAGCUGCAUCAGUAGCUGGCAGCCCGAAGAGAAAAUUCAUAGCACCCCUGCACAAGAAAGGAAGCAGAGCUGGUUUGUGACAUUUGGUGCAGCCUGGGUGUUCCUCAGGAGAGAGCCUUUAUCUGCCUGACCACAGGAACUUGUGCAACGAGCUCCAUAUCCUUGGCCAAGGAUUUUCACGUUUCACCACAAUAUAAAUCCUGCUCUAAGCAUAAAGUACAUCACUUUUAUCAGAAGUCUCUCACUUCAAAGGGAAACUGCAGUGGAACAGAGUAUUAAACAGAUCCAUGGGGCUCAUAAGCAUUUAUAAGCCUCCUAAAAGCAAAACUCUUACAGUUCAUCUUCUCAGCUAAAAAAAGACUGUUUUAACUUCUUUUUUUCUUUACAGUGAAUUACAGCAAUGUCUGUGAGCUGUUCGAAGCUCACGGUGAAGAUAAUUCAGGGAUCUUGGUCACUCCCACGCACAGCCCAGCACAAAGGGCACCCAAAGCAGCAGCAUCCUCCCACAGGUGGCUCCCCCAGCCCUUUGCCCAGCUCAGUGUCCCCCAAAAGUGCCCUCCCCCAGCCCAAACCUCAGCACUGCCCAACACAGAGGGCAGGGAGUCACUGAACCCCAACCUUCGUGCUGUCCCCACCGCUACCAGGCAGCCUCCUGGGCACAGGACAUGGAGCUGGGAGAUUUGACUGCUUGUGGGCUUUCCACAGUGCUUAUUUAUGGGGUAAUUAAUGGCAGGCACUAAUUGUCACUCUGCCGCCGCUGUGAAAUGCCAGGUGUUGUUCCUGUAGCACAAGCUGUGUAAGGUUGGCAAAGCCAGAUAGUCAGGGCCAAACACAACCAAAACCCAUCACACGGCACAACAGGCACAUAGUGAGGCAUCACACACUCCCUCGUUCCUUAUUCCCUUGGUUUUUGUAUUUUCCUUCAAAAAAUGAGUAAAAUUAGGCUUUUAAAAAUUUCUCUUAGAAGUGAGGAAUUUGAUAGCAAAGAAUGUGUUUGCAUGCAAAACUCAGGGUAUUUAUUCCUUCGAAAAUAAUGUGUGAAAACUUCCACUCAAUUAGUGCUGCCAGUGCAAAUUGCUUUCACUAGAAAUGAUGUGAUGAAAUCUUAUAGAGUAGGUGGGAGCACCAUUACCAAAUGCCCAGAAGGAAACCAGAUGAAGGAUUUUUUUAUUUUGUCUACUGAGAAUUGACCAUGAUUAUAAUUGAAUAACCUUUUUUUAAAAGAGGUACAGAGUAAAGUUUUCAUGACCUUAAUUGCUUCACAUAACUUCCCACAUCACAUGCUAUUGUUGUUCAUAUCCUAAGUGUCACUUGAUAUUCAUGACAAUUCAUAAAGACUAUCAUUUGUGAUAAUUGAUGCCAUUAAUAUACAAUCUUUGAAGGCCUUUUUGUAAUCAUUAGCUAAACCAUACAGGAUGUAAAAUCAAUGAUCUGAACUAUGUCAUUAAUAAUAAUAAGUUAUGUGUGAGUGAGUUUUUCCCAAAAAUACAAAUUCUUCAGAUUAUUUAAUUUCCGUUAUCACCCUAGACAAACAAUAACCUUGACA